rnacentral:lncRNA from 1 species
AAAAACUCAAAAUGAUCAUUUGAUCUCAAAAGCCUUCAAAACACUGAAGCAACCAAAAGCUCAUUGAGCCAUAAGAAACAAGUCAGCUAUAAUCCAGAAUCUCUAACUUUAGUUCAGUUUCAGAGAAAUAGUCAUUCAAAGCGAGAUUUCUCUCGUUACAAAUUUGGUUCUAGUACGGCCAGAAGGCCCUGCACUAGUUCAGGCCCCCCAG